GACGAACGCCGUCGGCGUGCUUAACACAUGCAAGUCGAACGGAAAGGCCCUGCUUUUGUGGGGUGCUCGAGUGGCGAACGGGUGAGUAACACGUGAGUAACCUGCCCUUGACUUUGGGAUAACUUCAGGAAACUGGGGCUAAUACCGGAUAGGAGCUCCUGCUGCAUGGUGGGGGUUGGAAAGUUUCGGCGGUUGGGGAUGGACUCGCGGCUUAUCAGCUUGUUGGUGGGGUAGUGGCUUACCAAGGCUUUGACGGGUAGCCGGCCUGAGAGGGUGACCGGCCACAUUGGGACUGAGAUACGGCCCAGACUCCUACGGGAGGCAGCAGUGGGGAAUAUUGCACAAUGGGCGGAAGCCUGAUGCAGCAACGCCGCGUGCGGGAUGACGGCCUUCGGGUUGUAAACCGCUUUCGCCUGUGACGAAGCGUGAGUGACGGUAAUGGGUAAAGAAGCACCGGCUAACUACGUGCCAGCAGCCGCGGUGAUACGUAGGGUGCGAGCGUUGUCCGGAUUUAUUGGGCGUAAAGGGCUCGUAGGUGGUUGAUCGCGUCGGAAGUGUAAUCUUGGGGCUUAACCCUGAGCGUGCUUUCGAUACGGGUUGACUUGAGGAAGGUAGGGGAGAAUGGAAUUCCUGGUGGAGCGGUGGAAUGCGCAGAUAUCAGGAGGAACACCAGUGGCGAAGGCGGUUCUCUGGGCCUUUCCUGACGCUGAGGAGCGAAAGCGUGGGGAGCGAACAGGCUUAGAUACCCUGGUAGUCCACGCUGUAAACGGUGGGUACUAGGUGUGGGGUCCAUUCCACGGGUUCCGUGCCGUAGCUAACGCUUUAAGUACCCCGCCUGGGGAGUACGGCCGCAAGGCUAAAACUCAAAGGAAUUGACGGGGCCCCGCACAAGCGGCGGAGCAUGCGGAUUAAUUCGAUGCAACGCGUAGAACCUUACCUGGGUUUGACAUGGAUCGGGAGUGCUCAGAGAUGGGUGUGCCUCUUUUGGGGUCGGUUCACAGGUGGUGCAUGCCUGUCGUCAGCUCGUGUCGUGAGAUGUUGGGUUAAGUCCCGCAACGAGCGCAACCCUUGUUCACUGUUGCCAGCACGUUAUGGUGGGGACUCAGUGGAGACCGCCGGGGUCAACUCGGAGGAAGGUGGGGAUGACGUCAAGUCCUCAUGCCCCUUAUGUCCAGGGCUUCACGCAUGCUACAAUGGCUGGUACAGAGAGUGGCGAGCCUGUGAGGGUGAGCGAAUCUCGGAAAGCCGGUCUCAGUUCGGAUUGGGGUCUGCAACUCGACCUCAUGAAGUCGGAGUCGCUAGUAAUCGCAGAUCAGCAACGCUGCGGUGAAUACGUUCCCGGGGCU
rnacentral:rRNA from 1 species